rnacentral:rRNA from 1 species
UACCAGCACCCCGAGUGGUCGGGACGAUUAUUGGGCCUAAAGCAUCCGUAGCCGGUUUUACAAGUCCUCCGUUAAAUCCAACUGCUUAACAGAUGGGCCGCGGAGGAUACUACAAGACUAGGAGGCAGGAGAGGCAAGCGGUACUCAGUGGGUAGGGGUAAAAUCUGUUGAUCCAUUGAAGACCACCAGUGGCGAAGGCGGCUUGCCAGAAUGCGCUCGACGGUGAGGGAUGAAAGCUGGGGGAGCAAACCGG